AACGUAGGAGGCAAGCGUUAUCCGGAGUUACUGGGCGUAAAGCGCGCGCAGGCGGUUUCGUAAGUGGGGUGUGAAAUAUCCGUGCUAAACGCGGAGGGGACAUUUCAGACUGCGGGACUAGAGUGGAGUAGAGGAGCGUGGAAUUCCGGGUGUAGUGGUGAAAUAUGCAGAGAUCCGGAGGAACACCAGAGGUGAAGACGGCGCUCUGGGCUCCAACUGACGCUGAGGCGCGAAAGCUUGGGGAGCGAAC
rnacentral:rRNA from 1 species